AUUGAACGCUGGCGGCAUGCUUACUACAUGGCAAGUCGAACGGCAGCGCGGGGGUAACCCGUGGCGGCGAGUGGCGAACGGGUGAGUAAUGUAUCGGAACGUAUCCUGUAAUGGGGGAUAACCAGUCGAAAGAUUGGGUAAUACCGCAUACGCACGAGAGUGGAAAGUAGGGGAUCGCAAGACCUUACGUUAUAGGAGCGGCCGAUAUCUGAUUAGCUAGUUGGUGGGGUAAAAGGCCUACCAAGGCGACGAUCAGUAGCUGGUCUGAGAGGACGACCAGCCACACUGGGACUGAGACACGGCCCAGACUCCUACGGGAGGCAGCAGUGGGGAAUUUUGGACAAUGGGCGAAAGCCUGAUCCAGCCAUGCCGCGUGCAGGAAGAAGGCCUUCGGGUUGUAAACUGCUUUAGUCUAGGAAAAAAGGGGUGCGAGGUUAAUACCCUCGUGCUUUGAUGGUACUGGAAGAAUAAGCACCGGCUAACUACGUG
rnacentral:rRNA from 1 species